AUUUUUAAAGCGCCAGAACUAAACCAUGAACGGAAAUGGUGACAUUCCAAUAGGAUAUUGUCACGGGUUUAGUUGACGAGGAGGAGGUUUAUCGAAGUUUCGGCGGAUGCCUCCCGGUUGACUCCAAUCACGACCGAAAAAUCCUUUUAGGUAAAACAGAGGGGUGACUCUCUGCACAAACGGAAGGAU
rnacentral:ncRNA from 1 species